CAAGAAAUCAGGCAGCGCAAAUCUCGGUAUGUCGACAGACGACCACAGCUAAGUCUUCCUUACUUUUGCUAUGAACUGAGCUCCUUUUUCUCAAUGAUUUUAAUGUGCAUUAAAUAGUAUUUAAAAAAAAAAAAAAAAAAAAAAAAAAGAAGAAAAAUAGCAAAGUGAAUACCAAAGGUUAGCUUUUUAUCCUCCAUCCUUUUGCUUUAGUUGCAGACUUCAGGUUUCUGUUUACUGUGAAUUUGGCUUUCAGUUACUGUACAAAUGUGUUUGGGUUUCGAAGUUAUAUUUAUUUCCAGCUUUGGAAAAAUUAAGUUCCCAUAGUGCAUUUGCUUACAAUUAUAUUUCUUAUACUUAUUCUUCAUUGAAUCAUAGCAGCGUAGCUUUUGCUUUUUGGCAUAUGUGGACUUCUAAAAUUACACGCAAAUAUUGGAUAACUCGAUCGACACUGGGCUUAAGUUUUCUACCAAAUCGAAGAUAAUAUUACGUUUCAAACAUUUUUGACAAAAUUAAAAGGUGGAAAGUAGAUGGCCGCGAAGUGUUCAAUGGUGCAUGAUCGAUGAUGUGUACGAUCUGAAGAAGAGCGAGGAUUUGGAUAGUUGGACAAUUGAUCAAUUGGAUGAUGCUUCAGCACGCCUAGUACGCGUAAAGUUAUUGAUAGCCUGUAUGAGUCCGCCAAACUAUAGUGUAUCUGGUCCUCUACGAGCUAAUGCUUAGAAUGCAGUAACUGUUGAAUGUAAAGAAGGCAAGAGAUUUUCUA